rnacentral:rRNA from 1 species
AAUAGAUACCCGGGUAGUCCACGCCGUAAACGAUGGAUACUAGCUGUUUGGGCGUAAGCUUGAGUGGCUAAGCGAAAGUGAUAAGUAUCCCACCUGGGGAGUACGGGCGCAAGCCUGAAACUCAAAGGAAUUGACGGGGGCCCGCACAAGCGGUGGAGCAUGUGGUUCAAUUCGAUGAUACGCGAGGAACCUUACCAGGGCUUAAAUGUAGAUUGACAGGCGUGGAAACAUGCUUUUCUUCGGACAAUUUACAAGGUGCUGCAUGGUUGUCGUCAGCUCGUGCCGUGAGGUGUCAGGUUAAGUCCUAUAACGAGCGCAACCCCUGUUGUUAGUUGCCAGCGAGUAAUGUCGGGAACUCUAGCAAGACUGCCAGUGUAAACUGUGAGGAAGGUGGGGAUGACGUCAAAUCAUCACGGCCCUUACGUCCUGGGCCACACACGUGCUACAAUGGGCGGUACAGAGAGCAGCUACCUAGUGAUAGGAUGCGAAUCUAUAAAACCGUUCUCAGUUCGGA